rnacentral:rRNA from 1 species
GACGAACGCUGGCGGCGUGCUUAACACAUGCAAGUCGAACGGAAAGGCCCUGCUUUUGUGGUGUUCUCGAGUGGCAAACGGGUGAGUAACACGUGAAUAACCUGCCCUUCAUUUUGGGAUAACUUCAGGAAACUGGGGCUAAUCCCAGAUAGGCUCCCCCGCUGCGGUGUGGGGGUUGGAAAGUUUCGGCGGUUGGGGAUGGACUCGCGGCUUAGGAGCUUGUUGGUGGGGUAGUGGCAUACCAACGCUUUGACGGGUAGCCGGCCUGAGAGUGAGACCGGCCACAGGGGGACAGGGAUGGGGCCCAGGCUGAAACGGGGGGCAGGAGUGGAGAAUUGUGCAAAGUGUGCGGAGGCCUGGUAGAGAAACGCCGCGUGGGAGAGGACGGUCUUCGGGGUGUAAACCGCUUUCGCCUGUGACGAAGUGUUAGGGAGGUAAAUGGAUAAUGAAGAACGGGUAAAUUCGGG